rnacentral:rRNA from 1 species
GAUCAACGCUGGCGGCGUGCAUGAGACAUGCAAGUCGAACGGACACUCAGGGCUUGCUCUGUGUGUUAGUGGCGGACGGCUGAGUAACGCGUAGGUGACCUGCCCCGAAGUGGGGAAUAACUGCCCGAAAGGGUGGCUAAUACCGCAUGUGGUGAUGCGUUCAUUCGCAUCAGUAAAGCCGCAAGGCGCUUCGGGAGGGGCCUGCGUCCGAUUAGCUCGUUGGUGGGGUAACGGCUCACCAAGGCGACGAUCGGUAGGUGGUCUGAGAGGACGAUCACCCAGACUGGGACUGAGACACGGCCCAGACUCCUACGGGAGGCAGCAGUCGGGAAUUUUGCGCAAUGGACGAAAGUCUGACGCAGCAACGCCGCGUGAGGGAUGAC